rnacentral:rRNA from 1 species
UACGAAGGGGGCUAGCGUUGUUCGGAUUUACUGGGCGUAAAGCGCACGUAGGCGGUUUGUUAAGUCAGGGGUGAAAUCCCACAGCUCAACUGUGGAACUGCCUUUGAUACUGGCAAGCUAGAGUCCGGAAGAGGUAAGUGGAACUCCUAGUGUAGAGGUGGAAUUCGUAGAUAUCAGGAGGAACACCGAUGGCGAAGGCAGCUCGCUGGGACGGUACUGACGCUGAGGCGCGAAAGCGUGGGGAGCAAACAGG